AUGAGCUCCUCCCUUCUUCUCUGCUCCAUUCUUCCCUUGCUCUCCCCUUCCCCUGAUCUCUCUCCCUCGUUCUGUCAUGCAGGUGUCCUCCCGAGCGCCAUGGACAGGAGCCCCGCCAUGGAUCUCCAAGUCCGCGGCUGCGUUGUCCCACAGCCCCCUCGUCGUCGUCCCCAUAGCCAAGUCCCGCGCUUCCCCUACAUCCAGCAACGGCAAGUCAGCCGCACAGCUUGUCGCUGCAUCCCCAGCCCCGCGGUGGACUCCUAUGCUUCGAGCCUCGCCCCUGCGCCGUCUUCCCCGCGCGCCACAGGAGACAGGAGACCGGACACCACCCCGGCAAGCUCUAUCGCCUCCCAUCGCUCCAACUUCGCCGAAGUACCCAACAAGGCUGACCCUUCUGAAGUUCGUCGCGCCGCCCUGCCAGGACGUGCCCUCGCCGUCUCCUUCCUCUCCGCCACAAGAGCUGACCUCCAUGGCGAUGUCGGCCUCGAGCUCGAUGGUCCCGCCACCGCCGUGAACGGACCCUACCUCGGAUCUGCCUCCUCCUCCACCCGUCGUCCCCAUCUGCGGGCUCCCCUGCAUCGGCCGCUGCCUCCCCUGCUUCUACGUGCGAGCACGCGGGGACGAGGACGACCAGCGCCCGCGUUGACUUCCCGGUCCGAAGCCGCUAGCCAGCUUAGUCCCUCCCUCAAGGCCCAGCUCUGCGCUCAAACUCUAGUCCGCCUCCGGCCUCAUCCACUUACUGGGCUUGGCCCAUGGCUUCGGUUUUGGUCCAGAGUUGUGAGGAUUCGUUCGACUAUGUCCGUUUUCCUUCUUCAUGGACUCGUUCUUCUUCCUUGCGGGAUCUCAGUUGCAGGUGCCGAUGAUAGCAGUGCAGAUGACGCAACCGAGCUCAAGUGGGAGCUCGAUGAAGACUUGUUCGUUGUGUUGUUUCGUUUCCUAUUGAUCAGUAGUGGAGCCCAGUUGGGACGAUCGGGGAUCUAG
rnacentral:rRNA from 1 species